rnacentral:rRNA from 1 species
UACAGAGGCCCCAAGCGUUACUGAGAAUCACUGGGUUUAAAGGGUGCGUAGGUGGCGCGUUAAGUCCGUUGUGAAAUCCCUUGGCUCAACCAAGGAAUGGCUUCGGAUACUGGCGUGCUUGAGGUUGGUAUGGGUCACUGGAACUGACGGUGGAGCGGUGAAAUGCGUAGAGAUCGGGAGGAACACCCGUGGCGAAGGCGGCCAUCUGGACCAGCACUGACGCUGAGGCGCGAAAGCCAGGGGAGCAAACGGG